AACGAACGCUGGCGGCAUGCCUAACACAUGCAAGUCGAACGAGACCUUCGGGUCUAGUGGCGCACGGGUGCGUAACGCGUGGGAAUCUGCCCUUAGGUUCGGAAUAACUCAGGGAAACUUGAGCUAAUACCGGAUGAUGACUUCGGUCCAAAGAUUUAUUGCCUAAGGAUGAGCCCGCGUAGGACUAGCUUGUUGGUGAGGUAAAGGCUCACCAAGGCGACGAUCCUUAGCUGGUCUGAGAGGAUGAUCAGCCACACUGGGACUGAGACACGGCCCAGACUCCUACGGGAGGCAGCAGUGGGGAAGUAUUGGACAAUGGGCGAAAGCCUGAUCCAGCAAUGCCGCGUGAGUGAUGAAGGCCUUAGGGUUGUAAAGCUCUUUCAGUGGGGAAGAUAAAUGACGGUACCCACAGAAGAAGCCCCCGGCUAACUUCGUGCCAGCCGCCGCCGUAA
rnacentral:rRNA from 1 species